rnacentral:rRNA from 1 species
GAUGAACGCUGGCGGCGUGCUUAACACAUGCAAGUCGAACGGAACUAUUCUAGAUUGAGGCUUCGGCCAAUUGAAGGUUUAGUUUAGUGGCGGACGGGUGAGUAACGCGUGAGCAACCUGCCUUUCAGAGGGGGACAACAGCUGGAAACGGCUGCUAAUACCGCAUAUUGUGUAGAGAUCGCAUGGUGUUUACAUGAAAGAUUUAUCGCUGAAAGAUGGGCUCGCGUCUGAUUAGCUAGUUGGUGAGGUAAUGGCUCACCAAGGCGACGAUCAGUAGCCGGACUGAGAGGUUGAACGGCCACAUUGGGACUGAGAUACGGCCCAGACUCCUACGGGAGGCAGCAGUGGGGAAUAUUGGGCAAUGGGCGCAAGCCUGACCCAGCAACGCCGCGUGAAGGAAGAAGGCUUUCGGGUUGUAAACUUCUUUGACCAGGGAAGAAACAAAUGACGGUACCUGGAAAACAAGCCACGGCUAACUACGUGCCAGCCGCCGCAGUAACAC